UCCGAAAUCCAAGGAGCUGAUAAUAAAUUGCUUAGAACAUAAAAAUUAUGUUACAUUAUAAUAAUAAAAUUUAUCAUCAGUGGCUACAUACCAUCGCACUGGAUAAUAUCUGACUUGUUUAAUAAUCAUAUAGUGAUUUUAACUAAUAGUUAAACUCCCCCAUAAAGGAAAAGCUUUGUGAAAAAAUAUUUAUACUCCCACUACCCUUAGUAGGCCUUAAAAUAGCCAUAAUAUGUAACUAUACACUAAUUAACAUUAUAUAUAAAAAAUAAUUAAUAUAAACAUAUCGCUAACCACUUUAUAACUAAUAAAAAUGAUAAGAUUACUAUAAACUCAAAUUAAUACCCUAAUAAACAAGCCAUCCCUUUAACUAUCCACAAAUAACAAAAUAUAUGUAUAUAUAGGAACUCGGCAAAACUAAUAUUUUGGACUGUUUAUCAAAAACAUUGUUUCUUGAUUAAAACCAUAAGAAAUAAGUACUGCCCAGUGAUUUAAUUUUAACGGCCGCGGUAUACUGACCGUGCGAAGGUAGCAUAAUAAUUUGUCUCCUAAUUAGGGAAUAGAAUGAAUGAAUCAACCCAAAACAUGCUGUCUCUAUUACAUGCCAAUAACUUUAUCUUCAGGUGAAAAAGCCUGGAUACAAUAAAAAGACAAGAAGACCCUAAAAGCUUUAUAUCUAAUCACUAACUUAAAAUGUUAUGAUCUUUUGUUGGGAUGACAACAAGUAUACAAAACACUUGUAAAAAUAAAGACCAUGUCUCUACCAUUUUAACCAAAAAAAGAAUACAUGUAAGCUACUUUAGGGGUAACAGGCUAAUAUUCUUAAAGAGUACAUAUUGACAAGAAUGUUUGGCACCUCGAUGUUGGCUUAGAGACUCUCUUUUAUGCAAAAGUAAAAACAGAAGGUUUGUUCAACCUAUAAUCCUCUACAUGAGCUGAGUUCAGACCGACGAAAGUCAGGUUAGAUUCUAUCUUUUUAAGGUAGUUUUAGUAGUACGAAAGGACCCUAAAA
rnacentral:rRNA from 1 species